CCUACGGGAGGCUGCAGUGGGGAAUAUUGGACAAUGGGCGAAAGCCUGAUCCAGCCAUGCCGCGUGUGUGAAGAAGGCCUUCGGGUUGUAAAGCACUUUCAGUGGGGAAGAAAGCCUUGGGGCUAAUACCCUCGAGGAAGGACAUCACCCACAGAAGAAGCACCGGCUAACUCCGUGCCAGCAGCCGCGGUAAUACGGAGGGUGCGAGCGUUAAUCGGAAUUACUGGGCGUAAAGCGCGCGUAGGCGGUCUGAUAAGCCGGUUGUGAAAGCCCCGGGCUCAACCUGGGAACGGCAUCCGGAACUGUCAGGCUAGAGUGCAGGAGAGGAAGGUAGAAUUCCCGGUGUAGCGGUGAAAUGCGUAGAGAUCGGGAGGAAUACCAGUGGCGAAGGCGGCCUUCUGGACUGACACUGACGCUGAGGUGCGAAAGCGUGGGUAGCAAACAGGAUUAGAUACCCCAGGUC
rnacentral:rRNA from 1 species